CUCCAUUCUUUUAGCAGAAAGUGAGCCGGCUGUGGCCUCUGCCUGCCUUCACACGUGAGCUGGAGCAUUGGCUCUUCCCGGGUCUCCAGCCUGCUGGCAUCGGGCCUGAUUUGCCACCAUCAGCUCUCCCAGGCUGCAGCUUCCUGACUUACUGUGCGUCAGGGGACUCAGCCUCCACCACGUAUGAGCUGAUUCGUUGCACUAACUCUCUCUGUCUCCAAGGCCUGUUGAUUCCCAGUCUCUGGAGAGCCCUGAGUGGGUGACAGACAGCGGGGUCCUCACCGGAGCCAAGGAUCGUCCCAGCCGAGGGCGGAGUCCGGACUGAUGGGAUGGAAAGAGGAUUCCUGCAACUGGAGACGAAGUCGUGGGACCCCCGAGCUGCAGACAGCGGCGAACGAGCAGCUGAGGGCCUGCGGGGUCCCCAGGAGGGCAGGGGGAGCCGGGGAGAGACCAGGAACCUCCUCGGCUUCCUCCCCUGUUCCCGGGGCCCCAGGCCAGGCUGAGGUCCCCGAGGAGCUUCUCUGCCAGGCCCUCACCCUGUGCAGGGUCUGGGGCUGUGGCUUGGGGCCCAAGGGUCCAUCUGACGUUUAAAGGACUCAGAAGGCCCCGAGAGGGUGUCCACAGGGACCAGCCUAGGCGUUGAUUCCUCGAUGGCCCUGAGUGGGUUCGGGAGCACAGAGGGACCUGAAGGCCCGUCUCCCAAACUUGAAGUUCACUCUUGGGGCCUGAGACGUGGCCAAGAAGGGGUUAAAGCGGGAGGCGUCUUGCAGGGCUGUUAGGAAAAUGAUAUUCUGCUGUUUGACGUCAUUUUAACUCCAUUUCAAGGACAUUUAAUCUUAUUUGCCCGAUGACUAAUCCCCAGCCCUGAGUGAAUUAACGUGCAGCCCCUGCUCCAGGGGAAGCGGGAGCCUUUCCAAGGAGACGUCGCGUCACCGCGUCCUGCCUCUUGCUUGGCUUGGCAGACAGGGCUCCUGGCCAGAGGCUGGGGCAGCCAUUGGGUGGUGGCUGUGGUGAGGACCUGACCCCUGGGUGAUGAAGAACGACUCGGCAGCUCCUUAGCCCUGGAACUUUUCAGAAGCGUGCUGUUUCCACUUUGCGCCUGUGGAUAGAACACACCCAUUUCCCAGGCUCAGGACAAAAUCUCCAGAACUUGGUGCUUUGAGGCAGGUGCAGGGACCCAGGUGGCCAAGCCGGGAACAGCAGGUGUGUGUCCCCAGCUGCUGCGUGUCCAGGGCUGGCCACCCAGCAGAGGCCUCAGCCAGGGCCGCAGGGGCGAUGACACAUGUG
rnacentral:lncRNA from 13 species